rnacentral:rRNA from 1 species
AAGGGUGAUGGCGUGCCUUUUGUAGAAUGAACCGGCGAGUUACUGUAUGGAGCGAGGUUAAGCAGGAUAUGCGGAGCCGAAGCGAAAGCGAGUCUUAAGAGGGCGAGAGUUGCAUGCAGUAGACCCGAAACCGGGUGAUCUAGCCAUGACCAGGUUGAAGUUGGGGUAAAACCCGAUGGAGGACCGAACCGACCCCCGUUGAAACGUUGGCGGAUGAGUUGUGGCUAGGGGUGAAAUUCCAAUCGAACCCGGAGAUAGCUGGUUCUCCCCGAAAUAGCUUUAGGGCUAGCGUCGAGGUAAGUUGCGUGAAGGUAGAGCACUGAAUAUGUGAUGGCCCCAUCUCGGGGUACUGAGCAUAAUCAAACUGCGAAUGUCACGAUAACAUGCUCGGCAGUCAGACAGCGGGUGAUAAGGUCCGUUGUCAAGAGGGAAACAGCCCAGACCAUCAGCUAAGGUCCCAAAAUGUAUGCUAAGUGGAAAAGGAUGUGGAGAUGUACAGACAACUAGGAGGUUGGCUCAGAAGCAGCCAUCCUUUAAAGAGUGCGUAACAGCUCACUAGUCGAAUGACUCUGCGCCGAUAAUUUACCGGGGCUAAGCAUACUACCGAAGCUAUGGAUCCCAAGGGAUGGUAGGGGAGCGUUCCAUGAACGGAGAAGUACGACCGAAAGGACGUGUGGAGAUCAUGGAAGAGAGAAUGCCGGUGUGAGUAGCGGAACGUGGGUGAGAAUCCCACGCACCGAAAACCCAAGGUUUCCAGAGGAAGGUUCGUCCGCUCUGGGUAAGUCGGGACCUAAGGCGAGGCCGAAAGGCGUAGUCGAUGGACAACAGGUAGAGAUUCCUGUACCCGUAUAUAUGUGAAGGAAUGACGGAGAGAGGAAGCUGCAGCCAGCGGCUGGAAGAGCUGGUGCAAGCGAGAUAUCGGGAUGGCAGGCAAAUCCACCAUCCGAAACGAGAAGGCGUGAAGCGUACGGAAAGCUACGGCGAGUACGGAAGGCAGUGGAGGAACUUCCAAGAAAAGUUUCUAACGUUAAGUAUAUAUGGCCCGUACCGAAAAUGGACACACAUGGGUGAGGAGAGAAUCCUAAGGUGAGCGAGAGAACUAUAGCUAAGGAACUCUGCAAAAUGACUCCGUAACUUAGGGAGAAGGAGUGCUCAUAGAGAUAUGAGCCGCAGUGAAACGGCCCAAGCGACUGUUUACCAAAAACACAGCUCUCUGCUAAGCCGCAAGGCGAAGUAUAGGGGGUGACGCCUGCCCGGUGCUGGAAGGUUAAGGGGAGGGGUUAACGCAAGUGAAGCCCUGAACUGAAGCCCCAGUAAACGGCGGCCGUAACUAUAACGGUCCUAAGGUAGCGAAAUUCCUUGUCAGGUAAGUUCUGACCCGCACGAAAGGCGUAACGAUUUGGGCGCUGUCUCAGCUGUAGACUCGGUGAAGUCUUAGUACCUGUGAAGAUGCAGGUUACCCGCGACUAGACGGAAAGACCCCAUGGAGCUUCACUGCAGGUUGAUAUUGGGAUUUGAUGCAGCAUGUACAGGAUAGGUAGGAGGCAAAGAGAUGGAUACGCCAGUAUUCAAGGAGCCGCUGUUGGGAUACUACCCCUGUUGUAUUGGAUUUCUAACCGGACGACGUAGAGCCGUUGACGGGACAGUGUCAGUCGGGCAGUUUGACUGGGGCGGUCGCCUCCCAAAGAGUAACGGAGGCGCCCAAAGAUACCCUCAGCUUGGAUGGAAACCAAGCGCAGAGUGCAAAGGCAAAAGGGUGUUUGACUGCGAGACCCACAAGUCGAGCAGGGACGAAAGUCGGGCUUAGUGAUCCGGCGG